CCACUGCAAAUUAUUUAAUUAAGAUUAAGAUUUUCCCUAUUUCAGUCAAACACGCUGUCCGUCUGUAGCUGCUACACGGUCGCUAGGUGACAGGCGAUAGACCACCCAAAAUAAACAGCCGCUCACUUCCGGUCUUCGCUACCUUCCCUUAGAAGGACAGCCACAGUUCACUCAGGGCCUGAGUGAGGACAUUUGAGCUGUUCAGACAUUUUGAGGAGUGAGUGGUCGGAGCUGCUCAGCCUCACAGCUUGUGCAGAGAAACAAAUUCUCCCCGACCACAGUGUUAUUUACAAUCCAAACCAAAAGGUCAAAGGUCAAGCUGUUAAUCAGACUGUGCAGAGGAAACCUUUCUACACGUCACAAAGGAAAAUGUAUAAAAUGGAACAGAGUUUAUCAUAUUUAAAGAAAGAGCUUAGAACAUAUGUAUUUUUAUUCAUCGAACAAUUUGACAGGAAUGAAUCAAAGAUGAGACAGAUCGUGAGAGAGUUUCAGAGGAUUUCUGAUGAAGUAAAAGAAAUGCAGGAAAACACUAACAAAGCAAGAAAAGUAGGAGCUGUUACUGGAGGAAUAGGAGCAGGAUUCAUUUUAGGAGGGCUCCUAUUAGCUCCAUUAACUGGAGGAGCGAGUUUAGUUGCAGUUGGUGUUGGAAGUGCUACUGCUGUUGGAGGCGGAGCUACUGUUGUUGGAUCCAACAUAAAAAAAAUUUUGUCAGAGAGUAGAUGUGGAGAGAAAGUAGAAAUGUGGGGAAAAGAAUUUAUGGCAAAAGUUGAACCAAUGAAGGAGAACCUGAAGGACAUACAGGUGACGUGUGAAAAUUUGGAGAAAGAGUCAGCUGAAGCUCAGGCUGAAAACACUCUGGCUGAUGUGAAGGAGCUUCAGAAGACCCUCGCACGAGUAUCUCGCCUAAAAAACAUGGCUGAGGGACUUUGGUUUGAAGCUGACAUCCUUCUGUUUGUUCUGGGUGAGCUGGUAAAGAUCAUCAAGCAAAUCUUCAGCCUCACUGAUACCCCUGAAGAGGAUCAAAGGUUAAGAGACGCCAUUAUCAAAUCGGCUGAUCAGAGUCAGAAGAUCAUUGAGGGGUUUGAUGAGAUGAAAACAGAACUGAGAAAGUGUAUGAAUGAAAUAUAAGAGUAGAAAAGUCACCUCCACCCCUCCUCCUCCACCCUGUGAGCCUGUACUGUUCACACUGACUAACAAAGUUUUAUGAAUAAAGGAUCAUCAGACUGUGACCUGGACUGUAUGGAGGACUUGUGUAGUUUGAGUCUGAAGCUUCCUCAUAAUCUCCAUUCACAGACUGGGUGUUGUUGUAUAUCCAUGUAAAGCUGAUCCACAGCAGCAUGAUGUCACAGAAGGUCACAGAGAGGUCGUAUGAAGAGGGUCCACAGCCUCACAAAGAGCUGCUUUCCUCCAUGAUCUCCAAUAUUUAUUUGACUGUUUUACUCCACAUUUAACCUGAACUGUGAGAGACUCGCCGACUUUCUUUGUCCUGGCUGGAAAAUGUUUUUUAUUCAUGAGCUAAAAAGAUGAUUUCAUUAAUUUGGUCGGACUCUUAUUACAAAAUAAACCUGAGAAACUUCCUGAGCGCAGAAAUGAUUUCUAAUUCUAAUAGAAGUUAAAAAUUUCAAAGCUGGAGAAACUGGUGAAAGCAACAAAAAUGACCUGGUUGGAAACUAUAAAUACAUUGUUAAAAUCACCUUCACAUGGAUUUGAAAAUAUACACUUGUUCAAAUGCUUUAGUAUGUGAAUAUAUGUUUGUGUAAAAUGCUGAUAAAGAGCUAAAAGUGUGCUCGUCUACAAAUGUAUACAAAUAUUUGCAGAGUCUAAAAUGUCUGCUAUACCACCUUUGUUACCUUAAGACUGGUUUAUGAUGGGAUUUUAUGUUGUUUUAUUUUUAUUCUUUUCUCUUCUGCAUGAAUCAGAGCUUUAGGAAUAAAAAAUAAAGAUCUUCAUGCUCCACACAGGUGUUU
ensembl:lncRNA